rnacentral:lncRNA from 1 species
GAAAAAUCACUUCUCAAAUAAUGUCCAGGAGAUUGCCGAUAUGGAUUUUGAGAUAGUGUACAAGCACUCGAUCUGUUUGUACUGAGCAAGGGAAUAUUUAUGGGAAAUUACCACAAUUCAUAGUACUAUUUUUCAUGUUUACACUAACUAUUUUGUCUCUCACUUUUAAUGAAUGGCUAAAGACAUUUAUACACAUAGGAUUAACUAAUCUAUACUUAGGGUUUAGAGUUGAGGGAAGUGUAGAGUUUUUGGAAUGUGAAAUUUAGGAUUCUAAUAAAUAUAUAAAUAAAUAAUUUUAAAAUAUAAAAAACAAUUUUAAAAUAGUUUCAAACAUAAUUUUUGAUUUUCAAAAAA